ACCGCAGUCUCUGGAAAUGUAAAGUUGUCUUUCUCUCUCUGGCUGAAAGUGUCAGUGGUGAAGCAGGCCGGUCCUCCUGGAGUGCGUCAGGCUACGACCCUGAGAGGGCGCGAGGGAGAAGGGCGACUACAGGAAUCCGAGCCAAACUGCAAGGAUCCACUCUCUCCACCAACCUCACUCCCACUGGGCCAGAAUCAUCCUUUACAUCCUCGGAACAAGUCCCAAACUCGGCAGUCCUCACCACGGAUACUUCAGGUAAGGUUCCAUCCCCGAGCUACUAGAGCACGUAUCCCUAAUUUACACUUGUUACCAACCUUCCUUACCCCCGCUUCCCUCUACACUCAACUCAUUCUUGACUGUCAUCACUACACCUUCCACCACAAUUGAUUCACCGUCACUCUUGUCAUAUUCAAUGUCCUUCUCUAGCUCUUCCAGAAGUUCUGUGCAAACCUCCAUUCCAUAUUCACUCAGGACAUAUUUCACUUUUCUUCUGUUUCCCUUGUCUGCCAUCUUCUCCUUCACCAAGUCUUCCUGAAGGUUUGUACAAUCGCCCACAUCGAUCACCACAUUCUUUUGGAGAGAUUGGAAACCCAAAUUGGUCUACACGGACAAGUUCUGGCCUGGUUUAGAUUUUAUCUGUCGGAAAGAUAUCAGUUUGUCUCUGUGAAUGGUUUGUCCUCUGACAAAUCAACUGUAAAUUUCGGUGUUCCUCAAGGUUCCGUUUUAGGACCACUAUUGUUUUCACUGUAUAUUUUACCUCUUGGGGUUGUUAUUCGAAAACAUAAUGUUAACUUUCACUGCUAUGCGGAUGACACACAGCUGUACAUUUCAAUGAAACAUGCUGAAGCCCCAAAAUUGCCCUUGCUAGAAGCAUGUGUUUCAGACAUAAGGAAGUGGAUGGCUGCAAACUUUCUACUUUUAAACUCAGACAAAACAGAGAUGCUUGUUCUAGGUCCCAAGAAACAAAGAGAUCUUCUGUUGAAUCUGACAAUUAAUCUUAAUGGUUGUACAGUCGUCUCAAAUAAAACUGUGAAGGACAUCGGCGUUACUCUGGACCCUGAUCUCUUUUGAAGAACAUAUCAAGACCAUUUCAAGGACAGCUUUUUUCCAUCUACGUAACAUUGCAAAAAUCAGAAA